AUUUUUCUUUUUUUAUUUUCCUCAUACUCAUUUUAUAUCCAAACAUGGCGUUAAAGUAAAAAAGAAAACCUGUAGGAAAAGUAGAUGCUUCGCCGCCGCCUGUUACAUUUAUCCAAUCUAAUGAAUGAAUCCAACAGGUUUACAAAGUAGCGAUCUUCCAGAUGGCCUCACGGAACACUGAUUGUUCUUUAUCCUGCAGAAAGCUUAGCAGCUAAUAUUUUAGCUUUUGUUCAAAAGCUCAAGACGGGGUCCACCACAACUCCGAGGUUAUCCUGAGAAAAAAAAUUUUUAAAAAAAUCUAAAUAUCUUAUUUAUCAGCCGAUAAUUUGCCCCUUUCUUGGUUCCAACCGAGCAUGAUUAGAAGAGCACUAAAACGACAUACACCUGCCUGAAAAAAUAUGACUGAAUAUAAGCGUCUAUAGAGAAUGCCAGAGUUCGUGCCAGUCCCCUUCAGCAUGUAGGGCAGGGCUUUUUAACAUUGACGACUCGAUUGAGUGCUUUUUGCCAACCUUCCCCAACUUUACCUUAAUUUAACCCACCAGAAGAUAUUUUCUCUUAAUGCAACUUGCUAGUUUGUGUGCCAAGCUCUCGUUUCAAUUAAAAAGAGCAACUGUCAGACUACAGUACAGUCUCUAAUAUAAUCCUGCCUACUCUAGGUAUGAUAUAUGCAAAUGUAAAUCCCCAGUAUACCAGAAAUCAAGUAGUUCUGCAGAGCUUUAUACAAAAAACGUGCGCUCAUUCCUCAUCCGCCACUCGUACUAAAACUAAACAAAAGAGCAAUGCAAUCAUACAAUUUCCAAAAGCAUGUCAUCUCUUUUACCCUGGCUGAAGAUUGAACUGAUCAUUACCAUAAAAAACUGUUGAUAAUGGGUAGUCAAGUUUAUGAGAUCAAACUAAUUACUCCAAAGAUUUCCAUUUGUUUAAUCAAACUCCUCUUCAUCGUCAGUGCCACCACCAAACAUGGCAGCCAUUUUCAUGGCCAGUUCGGCAGCCAUUUCUCUCCUUUGGAAAUCAGGCAUAAACCUCAUGUUGUCACGCAUAUUUCCAAUCUCA
rnacentral:misc_RNA from 1 species